rnacentral:tRNA from 1 species
GCGACCAUGGUGAAAUUGGUAAACACAACAGACUUAAAAUCUGUCGGCAACUGCCUUCCCGGUUCGAGUCCGGGUGGUCGCACCA